UACGUAGGGCGCAAGCGUCGUCCGGAAUUAUUGGGCGUAAAGAGCUCGUAGGCGGUCUGUCGCGUCUGCUGUGAAAACGCGGGGCUCAACCCCGCGCCUGCAGUGGGUACGGGCAGACUAGAGUGCGGUAGGGGAGACUGGAAUUCCUGGUGUAGCGGUGGAAUGCGCAGAUAUCAGGAGGAACACCGGUGGCGAAGGCGGGUCUCUGGGCCGUUACUGACGCUGAGGAGCGAAAGCAUGGGGAGCGAACAGG
rnacentral:rRNA from 1 species